GCGGUAAGGCCCUUCGGGGUACACGAGCGGCGAACGGGUGAGUAACACGUGGGUGAUCUGCCCUGCACUUCGGGAUAAGCCUGGGAAACUGGGUCUAAUACCGGAUAUGAGCCUCCACUGCAUGGUGGGGGUUGGAAAGGUUUACUGGUGCAGGAUGGGCCCGCGGCCUAUCAGCUUGUUGGUGGGGUAAUGGCCUACCAAGGCGACGACGGGUAGCCGGCCUGAGAGGGCGACCGGCCACACUGGGACUGAGACACGGCCCAGACUCCUACGGGAGGCAGCAGUGGGGAAUAUUGCACAAUGGGCGAAAGCCUGAUGCAGCGACGCCGCGUGAGGGAUGACGGCCUUCGGGUUGUAAACCUCUUUCAGCAGGGACGAAGCGAGAGUGACGGUACCUGCAGAAGAAGCACCGGCCAACUACGUGCCAGCAGCCGCGGUAAUACGUAGGGUGCGAGCGUUGUCCGGAAUUACUGGGCGUAAAGAGCUCGUAGGCGGUUUGUCGCGUCGUCUGUGAAAACCAGCAGCUCAACUGCUGGCUUGCAGGCGAUACGGGCAGACUUGAGUACUGCAGGGGAGACUGGAAUUCCUGGUGUAGCGGUGAAAUGCGCAGAUAUCAGGAGGAACACCGGUGGCGAAGGCGGGUCUCUGGGCAGUAACUGACGCUGAGGAGCGAAAGCGUGGGUAGCGAACAGGAUUAGAUAC
rnacentral:rRNA from 1 species